rnacentral:rRNA from 1 species
UACGGGGGGAGCAAGCGUUGUUCGGAUUUACUGGGCGUAAAGGGCGCGUAGGCGGUUGGAUAAGUCAGCUGUGAAAACCACGAGCUUAACUCGUGGCCUGCAGUUGAGACUGUCUGGCUUGAGUGUGGGAGAGGAGAGUGGAAUUCCCGGUGUAGCGGUGAAAUGUGUAGAGAUCGGGAGGAACACCGGUGGCGAAGGCGGGUCUCUGGGCAUCUCCUGACGCUGAGGCGCGAAAGCGUGGGGAGCAAACGGG